GACGGAGGAUGCAAGCGUUAUCCGGAAUUAUUGGGCGUAAAGCGUUCGCAGGUGGCUGUUCAAGUCUGCUGUCAAAGACCGGGGCUUAACCCCAGAAAUGCAGUGGAAACUGAACGGCUGGAGUGCAGUAUGGGUAGAGGGAAUUCCCAGUGUAGCGGUGAAAUGCGUAGAGAUGGGGAAGAACACCGGUGGCGAAAGCGCUCUGCUGGACUGCAACUGACACUGAGUGACGAAAGCUAGGGGAGCGAAAGGG
rnacentral:rRNA from 1 species